GGCGUGAGCUACGAAAUUGCGUGAAACCGGCACGAGCCAUCCAAGCCAAGCCGGUACAGUCACACAUCGCAAGUGCAGCUGCCGCCGGCCAGGUGGAGCCACAAGAGAGCAGUGGCCAGGAGGUGAAGGUGGUCCACCACUUGGCGUCGGGCGCCUAUGCACAAGUCUAUCUUGCGCAGAUAUUGAACACCCAUGACACCUACCUGGACACUGAAAUGGUCAUGCUGAAGGCAGACAACAGCAGAAUCAGUGCCAGCUGGGAGAAAUACAUCUGCCGCGAACUGCUCCGGCAAUUCAAAGAGGCCUUUUCGGGGGCACCUGCGAAGUGUGUGGCAGACUUGCAGCUAGCCUGCUUCUUCAAGAAUGGCGCCAUCCUGGUGUUCCCCCACAGCCCGUAUGGCACACUUUUGAGUCUGGUGGUCCAGUGCCAGAAGCAAGGCUGUGGCUGCAUCCCCGAGUGCCUGGAGCUCUACUUGCACCACCCUGCAAUGGGUGCAUGUGUGUGGCAUCAUCCACGCAGAUAUGAAUCCUGACAACGUCCUCAUCAUCGACUUAUGCUGCCGUGGUUCCUCAUCCGAAUGUCGGAGAGGGACAAUGGAUGCCUCUUUUUCGUCGUCGAUGCGCAACUUUGCAGAAAUGCAAGCUUGGAGUGCGCAUUUUCCGGACUUGCUGCCACGGGUGUGACAUCACCAGUGACCAGUCUACAAAAGGAGCAACGCGAGAACAUCGGCUUCAGAGGGCAUGGCACUUGGCUGACAGGCAUAAUGCCUAAAACGCCGUUACUGCUGUUGCAGAUGCUGCCGUGGUUCCUCGUCAGAAUGUCGGAGAGGGACAAUGGAUGCCUCUUUUUCAUCGUCAAUGCGCAACUUUGCAGAAAUGCAAGCUUGGAGUGCGCAUUUUCCGGACUUGCUGCCACGGGUGUGACAUCACCAGCGACCAGUCUACAAAAGGAGCAACGCGAGAACAUCGGCUUCAGAGGGCAUGGCACUUGGCUGACAGGCAUAAUGCCUAAAACGCCGUUACUGCUGUUGCAGUAUUCCGUGCAGCCCAUGCAAGGCAGGCUUCCUCGACCGGUUUACUGAGCAGGGGGCCAGCUGCCUGCAGUUAAUUGACUUUGGACGUGCCGUCGACAUGAGCCAGCUGCCGCCGGGCACGACAUUUACCUAUGUGGUGAAAACAGAUGGCUUCGUCUGCACCGAGAUGUGCAACAGUCGCCCAUGGACCCUCCAGACUGACUGGUUUGACCUUCAGGGCUGUCUGCACGUGCUCUUGUUUGGAGACUGCAUGGAGGUCGAGAAGAUGCCCAACAGCACUUGGAGCAUCCGGCGCAAGUUCAAAAGGACACGAGCGGGUGACUUGAUGGCGAUACUAUAGCACAACUUGAAGCCUGCGUCCUUUUAUGGCCGAUCGAACGAGGUACUGGCAACAGGACCUGUGGAAUCGCCUCUUUUCGACCCUCCUCAGCAUUCCGAGCUGCUCGGAGCUGCCAGACAUCACAUCGAUUGCAUUAUAGAUCCAGAGCCUGUUGCGGAACAGGUGACAGGCCCACGAUGUGGUCGUGGAAGCUCUGCGGACCAAGAACAUAUAAUUUUAUUUAUUAAAGCGAAGCUUUCUUGUCCCACUGAUUCGUACAUGAGCGCCGAAAACGCACUGCAGGAAAAGCAACUUACACAAUGGAACUAUCUGCGCAUCUGCGCACACAAUCGUAGAACACUACAGUUCACAUUCGCAGUUGUACCGAUAAGAACAAUGGGAACUGCAACGCCACGCUACCCAGACGAACUGUAUUAAAGCGAAGCUUUCUAUGUCUCACUGAUUUGGUUGUGAGCGCUGGAAAGGCGCUGCAGGAAAGCCAACUUACACAAUAAAACAAUCUGCGCACGCAAUCAUAAAACACUACAGUUUACAUUCCCAGUUGUGCCGAUAAGAAAAAUGGGACCUGCAGUGCCACGCCACCCAGAUGAACUAUAUAUAUCUGCAUUACAUUAUGCGCGUCACGCAAUGCAUUCCCGGCGUCACCAUGGGUAGGAUGCAGGUGCAGUGCACGGCAGGAGAAGAGGCUGCCAUACGCGAACGUAAGAGCAAGCGUGAUCGUGCCCGUAAGGCCGAUCCCGUGUAUCGGCAAUGGCAUGCAGUGAAAGUGUGAGUGACUGCGUGUAAUCGACGGCUACAUGAUCUAAAAU